ACACACAAUCUCUGUCUCUCCAUCUCUCUGUGUGUGUGCGCGCCUCACUCUCUGUCUGUCUGUCUCUCUCUCUCUCUCUAUCGUCUUGUCUCUGCUAUCUCGCUGUGCACUUCUCUGUCUCUCUCCUCUUUCACUGUCUCUUUGGUCUUUGUGUGUGUGUGUGCCCCUCUCUGUCUCUGCCUCCCUCUGUGUGUGCUUUUGCCUUUCUCUCUCUCCGUCGCUCCCUGUGACCGUCGACCCCCCACCCCCUCUGCACCGCCCCUCCCCCCGCCUUUUCCUCCAUCUCUCUUACUCUCUAUCCGAGCCUCUCCACCCGCUCAGCAGGGAGCGUUGUGAGUUUCUUUCGAACAAAGUUUAAAGAUCUCUGUUUGAACCCAAGCCAUCCGCAAUCAGACUGCAUUUCUAAUCCCCCCCCCGCCCUCUCUCUCUCUCACACACACACACACAGUCUGUCUCUUUCUCCCUUUCAGUCAAUCCCCUUCCUCUCUUGGUCCUACUCAAGCCUUUUCCCACCCCCGACUCUGCCUCGGCGAUGAGUCCGCUGUCUGGAUCCCUUUUCCCAGGCGUGGGCUGAGGACCCAGCGGUUCGGCAGCGGGGAUCAUCGCACCACGCUCCCGGACCCCUCCAACCUCCAGUUCUCCAGCGGCCUCCAGCAUGACCACCGGGCUGGGAGCAGGCAUCCGGGCUGCCGGAGCGCUCGCUGCUCAGUGGCUCAGCCCUGCGCCGCCUUUGCCGGGAGCGGGGAUCCGAGGUGGGAGAAGGCCUCUUCGCCCGGCUCCUGGGCACAGCUACCUGCCUGAACAGCUGCCUGGCACCGAGCCUGCGCUCCCCGAGCACCCGGCCGCGGGUCCGCGACGCCUUCCGGGGCUGAGUAGCCGAAAACUAUCUCCUACUGCAAGGGUAAGGACUGCCUGCAAAAUCUGAGAUUGGGCUUUGAAAGACAUCAACCUUUGCUUGCGAGAGAUAAUGGUAACUGCAGAUGCCAGAGAAUGCGAGAUAACAAUGUGUGGAGCUGGAUGAACACAGCAGGCCAAGCAGCAUCUCAGGAGCACAAAAGCUGACAUUUCGGGCCUCGACCCUUCAUGCGAGAGAACGUAACGUUUUUAAAGAAGAAAUUGCCCCAGUCAAACAAGAAGUCAAAAUAUUAAAUGAUCUGGCCAGUCAAUUAUCUCCGCUUGAUGUCUCUUUCUCUCCAAAGAUUUCUCACCAGCUUGACGACCUAAAUAUGAGGUUGAAAUUUAUACAGCAGCAGGAGGUGAGGAGGCAGAGACUGCAACCCUGAGGUCACGGAGGGAAGGAAAAGAGGCUCUUACUUGGAGAUUGAGAAGCAGGAGAGGGCACAACCCAGAGGUUUGGGAGUGGAGAGAGGCUGCAAGUUGGAGGUCAAGCCACCAGACUCAGAGUACCUGUUGGGACCAUCCAAAAAUGACUGAACAUUUUCACUCAUUAGGUAAGUAGAUUGAUAAUAGGACUCUGGUUCUGUGCCACUGUCAGAUCAUUGCGACUCCAAAAGGUACCAAAGUAAAUUCUGGAUUCUAGGCAAAUAUACCUAUGUGUUUAAAUCUAUUUAGGUGCAUUCAUGUAGGCUAAAAAUACUUGAAAUAAUGUAUAAUUAGGAGUGACAGACAACAUCUGUGACAUUAAAUGAAAAACAAGAACAAAGAACUUUGGUUCAUAUUUCAGCUUCGACAGGCACUAAACAACUAAAAGCACUGUAUAACCAAUGAAGUAAGUUUUUGAAGUAUGUUUGUAAUGUCGGAAACACAGCAACAAAUAUAUGCGCAGAAGGCUUUCACAAACAGAACUGUAAAAAUGACCACUUACUUUGUGAUAUUGAUUGAAUGCUAAGUGUUGGCCAGAAUGUAGAUCCACUGAACUGAAUACAGGUGGUUUGUGGGUAAGAAAGUCUUAACCCUUUGGACAAACCUAAUUUUAUUUGUAAUUUAUUAGCAAUAACUGAAUUGUGCAGUUUAAGUUCAGAAGUUCCCAAUUUUAAGUGGAGUUUUAACAAAUUCACCUUUGAAGAGCGUUUGGGCUUGAUUAACCCAAGUCUCAACUGAGUUAACUCAGCCUUUUGUGUUAGGGAUGUAUAAAUUAUCCAUCUUAGGGGAGGCGAUGGCCUCAUGGUAUUGUCACUGGACUGUUCAUCCAGAGAGACAAAUCAUGUUCUGGGGACCUGGAUUCAAAUCCCGCUGUGGCAGAUGGUGGAAUUUGAAUUCAAUAAAUAUCCGGAAUUCACAAUCUGAUGAUGACCAUGAAUCUGUUGUUGCUUGUUGGAAAAGCUCAUCAGGUUCACGAAUGCCUUUUAGGGAAGGAAACUGUCAUCCUUACCUGGCCUGGUCUGCAUGUGACUCCAGACCCACAGCAAUGUGGUUGACUUUUAACUGCCCUCUGGGUAAUCAGGGCUGGGCAAUAAAUGCUGCCUCGCCAGUGACGCCCUCGACGAGAUUGAAUCAAGAAAAAAAAUUACGAUUGCCUUUUCUAACUUCUCAGCCUUCAGUAAUUGAUUCUCCCAGUGCUAGAGAAGAAGUGGUGACUGUGGCUUAUUCUAUUCCCAAGGUUUAAC